rnacentral:rRNA from 1 species
GAUGAACGCUAGCGAUAGGCCUAACACAUGCAAGUCGAGGGGUAGCACAGAGUAGCAAUACUUGGGUGACGACCGGCGCACGGGUGAGUAACACGUAUGCAACCUACCUAUAACAGGGAGAUAACCCGGAGAAAACCGGACUAAUGUCCCAUAACACCGGGAUGCCGCAUGGUAAUAUUUGUUAAAGAUUAAUAGGUUAUAGCUGGGCAUGCGUUCCAUAAGCCAGUUGGAGAGGUAACGGCUCACCAAGGCAACGAUGGAUAGGGGAACUGGGAGGUUUGUCCCCCACACUGGAACUGAAACACGGACCAGACUCCUACGAGAGGCAGCAGUGAGGAAUAUUGGUCAAUGGGCGAGAGCCUGAACCAGCCAAAUCGCGUGAAGGAAGACUGCCCUACGGGUUGUAAACUUCUUUUAUAGGGGAAUAAAAAAGGGAACGAGUUCCCUAUUGUAUGUACCCUAUGAAUAAGCAUCGGCUAACUCCGCGCCAGCCGCCGCAGUAAUAC